rnacentral:sRNA from 1 species
GUCUUCUCUCAUCUUUUUCCUAGUCCCAUUGCUUCUUUCCACCUUCUAGACCUUUUCAUGUCUAAAGUCACAUUGGUCAGCCCUUAGUCCAGCUCCUGUUCCUGUCAGGCCUCGGCUAUUCUGUCCUCAUCCUCUCCUUCUCGCCACCCUCCUUGAUUGAGCAUCGGGCAUUACGCUGACUGGUGUGACAACCCUGACAGUUGGAUGGGAAGAGGAAUUGCUGAAGAUAUAUUUUGUCUUCAUAAUAGUUGGAAAACUUCUUGUUCUGCCCAAGAUAUCGAUGGAUGCACUUCUCCUUUAAGUCGUCAAGGCAGUUUGGGGGAAGGAAUCGUUUUUGAAGUUCCUUUGACCAGGCAUUCCAGGUGUUAAAGGAGUAGUGUUCCUUCUCAGAAAGGCAAACAUAGUAGUAGAAGGUAUUAUUGUGAAGGAGAGAAUCAAGGAGUCGAAGGAUGUCGCUGUCAUUGGCUUGAGAACCGCGUUUAAUGCUGCUGAUCUUCUGAACCCAGUCGACAAAAUCAUCACCAUAGCGACCAUAGAAUUUAGGGAGUUUGGAGCUUUGAGGCAGGUGGGUUGUGAGGUAGAGACAGUAGAGUCCUCUUUCACAAUGAUGGAAGCUGAGUAAGGAGGUGGCUGAUGUUGAAUGGGGGAUGGUUUGCCAGAAGGAAGGUGGGUUGGGAGGAGUGGGAAUGGAGGGCGUCUGGAGAGGAGUCAUUCUGGUGUUUCAGAGUUGAGCAAUGAGGCACAAGCAUUGUUCAGGGUGGGCGCCGAGUACUGUGGAAUGGAUAUGUUGGGAGAAUGGCAGCGAGGUAGAGAUUGGGAUAACUUAGAAAAGAGAGGCCAUGAUGUCAGAUUAGGUCACCGAAGGUGUGGUUCUUAUAGAUCAGCGAGGUGGAUAGUAUUAUAUCAUUUAGCUUGUAGUGGCGAGCGUAGAUAGAUAUAUAAGUCCAUAGUAGCUUGGUACUGGAUGGCUUUCCUCAUCUGACUUUGGUUAGAAGGAAAGCUGAGUAUCCGUACCAGAAUCCUCAUUCAUUCAACAGGAUAGUUGGCACAAGUUUUAUGUGUAGGCAGGGUGGAUACAGUGCUCUAGAUUAAAUGACAAAACAUGGGACAAGACCCC